UCACUCUCUCCCCCACCGCUCCCCAUUCCAUGGUGGCCCCGCCUGCUCUCCCCACUGCCUCAUCUACCCACCACGGCCUCGCCCCGUCGGCCGCCGCCUCCUCUCCCCACCAUGGCCUCGGCCCGCCGCCUUCUCUCCCCACCACGACCUCACCUUGCCGGCUUGCCGCUAACCCCGCAGUUCUUCCCUAGAUCGACUCUGUCGCCGCCGUCCACAUCUUCCAGCGCAGAUCAAGAUGCGAGCUAGAGGAGCAUCCUGGAAACGAUGCGGCAGCGGGCAUCUCGGAGCGGGCCGAGUUCCAGUUCGUCUACGUGCCCACCGUGAUAGUCGACCUCGUGCUUCGCUCCCACACCUGCUCCGAGAAGGCGCUCCUAGCUCGCCUACGUGGUCGGUUGCUCCAGGAUGUAGCUUGGGAAGGUCAGACUGUUGGAGUUGAAGCAGUUGUAGAUUUCUUCAAGGCAAAAAUAAAGCAUUUGCACUUGGUGAGAUGAAAAAGAGGAUGGCACAGGUGAUGCAAGGAACCUACGACCUGUUUGCAGCGAAGAAGGUGAGGGGGAGCAGCCGCGCAUGUAAUGGCCAGUGGAGGGCGGCCAGGGAAGGCGGCGGCGGUGUUUUCGUGCGGCGAGGUCGCCGUCC